rnacentral:rRNA from 1 species
UACGUAGGGGGCUAGCGUUGCUCGGAUUUACUGGGCGUAAAGCGCGCGUAGGCGGAUCGCUAAGUCAGGGGUGAAAUCCCAAGGGCUCAACCUUGGAACUGCCUUUGAUACUGACGAUCUGGAGAUCGGGAGAGGUUGGUGGAAUUCCGAGUGUAGAGGUGAAAUUCGUAGAUAUUCGGAGGAACACCAGAAGCGAAGGCGGCCAACUGGCCCGAUACUGACGCUGAGGCGCGAAAGCGUGGGGAGCAAACAGGAUUAGAUACCGUGUAAUCCGA